rnacentral:rRNA from 1 species
UACGUAGGUGGCGAGCGUUGUCCGGAUUUACUGGGCGUAAAGAGCGCGCAGGCGGUCGUUCAAGUCGCGUGUGAAAGCCCCCGGCUCAACUGGGGAGGGUCACGCGAUACUGAUCGACUCGAAGGCAGGAGAGGGAAGUGGAAUUCCCGGUGUAGCGGUGAAAUGCGCAGAUAUCGGGAGGAACACCAAUUGCGAAGGCAGCUCGCUGGGACGUCACUGACGCUGAGACGCGAAAGCGUGGGGAGCAAACAGG